ensembl:lncRNA
CAAUGGAAACAACGGAAACAACGGAAACAACGGAAACAACGGAACCAACGGAAACAACGGAAACAACGGAACCAACCUCCACAGAGACAGAAACAUAAGGCAGAAAAUUAGGUGACAGGUCAAGAACAACAACGGACACAACGUAAACAACCUCCACAGAGACAGAAACAUAAGACAGAAAAUUAGGUGACUGGUCAAGAACAACAACAGAAACAACGGAAACAACGGAAACAACGGAAACAACCUCCACAGAGACAGAAACAUAAGGCAGAAAAUUAGGUGAGAGGUCAAUAACAACAACGGACACAACGGAAACAACGGAAACAACCUCCACAGAGACAGAAACAUAAGGCAGAAAAUUAGGUGACAGGUCAAGAACAACAACGGAAACAACGGAAACAACGGAAACAACGGAAACAACGGAAACAACGGAAACAACACAACCUCCACAGAGACAGAAACAUAAGGCAGAAAAUUAGGUGACAGGUCAAGAAGAACAACGGAAGACGGAAACAACGGAAACAACCGAAACAACCGAAACAACCAUAACAACCUCCACAGAGACAGAAACAUAAGGCAGAUAAUUAGGUGACAGGUCAAGAACAACAACGGAAACACUAACGGAAACACUAACGGAAACACUAACGGAAACAUCCGCCAGAGAGACAGAAACAUACGGCAGAAAAUUAGGUGACAGGUCAAGAACAACAACGGAAACAACUGAAACAACCAAAAACAACCGAAACAACCUCCACAGAGACAGAAACAUAAGGCAGAAAAUUAG